GCUGGUGUAGCUCAAUGUCAGAGCAGCUGAAUUGUUUUCAGCAGAUGGAGUGUUCAAAUCCUCCCGCCGGCUCCA
rnacentral:tRNA from 1 species